GUCUUAAUUAAAUUCUUGUAAAAAGAAUGAAAAUGUUUAUCGCAUAUAAGAUAGAUCACAAAAUAAAAUUUUCUUAAUCAAAUAAAAACCGCACAGCCUGUCUGAAUCACCACCGUCUUCCUAGAAAUGUCGCCCGGAGAUCUUCCGGAAGAACUUAUCACAGAAGUCUUAUCAACCCUUCCGGUGAAAUCUAUUUUGCGAUUUAAAUGUGUCUGUAAGCCAUGGGAAUUUCUCAUCUCUGAUCCUUUUUUUUGUUGAAAGCAACUUCAUCAAUCCCAAAAAGGAAACAACCAUCUCGCGCUCAUAGUCUGCAGGCCUUGCACACGUUAUGAAGAAUAUUAUUAUGAUAGAGAUUGUUCUGUCGUACCCUUUCCUCUCAACACUUUACUACUUAAUCCAUUUGUAAGCAUUCCCAUUCUUCCUCAUCACCGACUGAGAUAUAAACGUUGUUUCCGAGUCAUCGGUUCUGUCAAUGGAUUGCUCUGUUUGUUUAAUUCUUAUGGAACUCGUAGCGGUCCAUAUGGUCCUUAUCAUCGAAACACCUGGUUUCGUUUGUGGAAUCCGGCCACCAAGAAAAUAUCUCAAAAAUUAGGCUCAAUUACCCAUCCAAAUAGCCAUCCUGAAGAAGAUGGGUCUAACUAUCUCAGGUUUGCAUUUGGUUAUGAUAAAUCAAUCAACACUUACAAAGUAGUGGCAUUUUGUCCUAAUGAGGUGAAAAUUUUCAGUUUUGGUGAUAAUGUUUAGAAAAUUAUUCAACAUUUCCCUAUAAUUCCUUUAUAUCAUGUGGUUAAGGUUCGCCAUCAACAACAGCGUAUCAAUGAAGGUGCUAUGGGUCCAUUUUAAAUCAUAGGACGGCAACCCCAAUUUCAAGCACAUUAGAUGUUAUUGAUGGUUUCUUGCAAUAUGGUAAAAAGAAAGAAGAAAAAGAGAGAAAUAUGCAGAUAUUUAGUGACAAAUUCACUAACUAUUUAUUUUGUUUGUUUCUCUACUGAAAAUUGUUAUUCGUGUAAUUACUAAGAUUAUUGUAAUUUGUAACUAAUGGUUACUUCAUUAUCAUGAUCAUGUUCCAAUAUUGAUGAUAAGAAAAUAUUGUCAUUCAUGCA